CUGAUGCAGCCAUGCCGCGUGUGUGAAGAAGGCCUUCGGGUUGUAAAGCACUUUCAGUUGUGAGGAAAAGUUAGUAGUUAAUACCUGCUAGCCGUGACGUUAACAACAGAAGAAGCACCGGCUAACUCCGUGCCAGCAGCCGCGGUAAUACGGAGGGUGCGAGCGUUAAUCGGAAUUACUGGGCGUAAAGCGCACGCAGGCGGUUUGUUAAGCUAGAUGUGAAAGCCCCGGGCUCAACCUGGGAUGGUCAUUUAGAACUGGCAGACUAGAGUCUUGGAGAGGGGAGUGGAAUUCCAGGUGUAGCGGUGAAAUGCGUAGAUAUCUGGAGGAACAUCAGUGGCGAAGGCGACUCCCUGGCCAAAGACUGACGCUCAUGUGCGAAAGUGUGGGUAGCGAACAGGAUUAGAUACCCUGGUAGUCCACACCGUAAACGCUGUCUACUAGCUGUGUGUGUCUUUAAGACGUGCGUAGCGAAGCUAACGCGCUAAGUAGACCGCCUGGGGAGUACGGCCGCAAGGUUAAAACUCAAA
rnacentral:rRNA from 1 species